CGAGCCGGACGGGCGGCCGCGUCGGGAGAGGCUCCGGUUCGCCGGGGGAUCCCCCGCCGAGGAAAGUCCGGACUCCACAGGGCAGGGUGGUGGGUAACACCCACCCGGGGCGACCCGCGGGACAGUGCCACAGAGAACAGACCGCCGGUCAUCGAUCCUCGGAUCGGUGUGCCGGUAAGGGUGAAACGGCGGUGUAAGAGACCACCAGCGCGGCGGGUGACCGUCGCGGCUCGGCAAACCCCACCCGGAGCAAGGUCAGACAGGAAGCGUCCGAGGGCGGCCCGCCCGAGCUUCCGGGUAGACCGCAGGAGGUCACCGGCAACGGUGACCGUAGAUGGAUGGCCGCCGCUCACCCUCGGUGAGCACAGAAUCCGGCUUACAGUCCGGCUCGUCCG
rnacentral:RNase_P_RNA from 1 species